GCCUUGGGAAGCACAAAGUACAAGUUGAGUGAUCAUGACUCAGUUUCCCUGGCUGCGACCCUUGGCUAAUGGGAAGGUUGUGAGAACACAUUGGAGGAGAGAGAGGCCACUCUAAAAUACAAGAUGAAACCAGCUCCUCUUCCUUGAGUGCAAUGGCCUGAGUGGGGCCAUCUGGUGGCCAGGCCUCAUCACUACAGAGCUCCAAAGGC
rnacentral:RNase_P_RNA from 1 species